UCGGGGUGACAGGAUUUGAACCUGCGGCCUUCCGCUCCCAAAGCGGAUGCGCUACCAAGCUGCGCUACACCCCG
rnacentral:tRNA from 1 species